ACCCGCUGAACUUAAGCAUAUCAAUAAGCGCAGGAAAAGAAACACAACAGGGAUUGCCUCAGUAACGGCGAGUGAAGCGGCAAUAGCUCAAAUUUGAAAUCUGGCCUCUCGGGGUCCGAGUUGUAAUUUGUAGAGGAUGUUUUGGGUACCGCCCCGGUUUAAAUUUCUUGGAACAGAAUGUCAAAGAGGGUGAGAAUCCCGUCUUGGAUCGGUGGUAGGGCCUAUGUAAAACUCCUUCGACGAGUCGAGUUGUUUGGGAAUGCAGCUCAAAUUGGGUGGUAAAUUUCAUCUAAAGCUAAAUAUUGGCCAGAGACCGAUAGCGCACAAGUAGAGUGAUCGAAAGAUGAAAAGCACUUUGAAAAGAGAGUUAAACAGUAUGUGAAAUUGUUGAAAGGGAAGCGCUUGCAACCAGACUUGAGCGCGGCGGUUCCCCUCGCCUUUUGGCGAGGCUACUCCGUCGUGUCCAGGCCAACAUCGGUUCUGAGGGUCGGUUAAAGGCUCUGGGAAUGUACCUACCCACGGGUAGACUUAUAGACCAGGGUGUCAUGCGACCUCCCGGGACCGAGGAACGCGCUUCGUCUCGGAUGUUGGCGUAAUGGUUGUCAGCGACCCGUCUUGAAACACGG
rnacentral:rRNA from 1 species